AUUGAACGCUGGCGGAAUGCUUUACACAUGCAAGUCGAACGAUGAACCUUAGCUUGUUAAGGGGAUUAGUGGCGAACGGGUGGGUAAUAUAUCGGAACGUGCCUUGUAAUGGGGGAUAACUAGUCGAAAGAUUAGCUAAUACCGCAUACGCUCUGUGGGGGCAAGUAGGGGAUCUUCGGAUCUUACGGUAUGAGAGCGGCCGAUAUCUGAUUAGCUAGUUGGUGGGGUUAUGGCCUACCAAGGCGACGAUCAGUAGCUGGUCUGAGUGGACGACCAGCCACACUGGAACUGAGACACGGUCCAGACUCCUACGGGAGGCAGCAGUGGGGAAUUUUGGCCACAGGGCGCAAGCCUGAUCCAACCCUUCCGCGUGAGUGAAGAAGGCCUUCGGGUUGUAAAGCUCUUUCGCAAGGGAAGAAAGCUUUCCAUCGAAUAAAUGGUGAGGCUGACGGUACCUUGGGAAGAAGCACCGGCUUGCUACGUG
rnacentral:rRNA from 1 species